rnacentral:lncRNA from 1 species
UGAUCCUUGGAGAUGGCAGGAAGCCCCUGGACACACAUGGUGUGGACUCCUUCAGAGGCUGUUGAAACCUUCCUUAAUGUGGUGUUGGCGUCAAGGCAGGCUCGUAUCUUGAGGAAUGAUUGUCACAUCGUAUGAUCCUUGGAGAUGGCAGGAAGCCUCUGGACACACAUGGUGUGGACUCCUUCAGAGGCUGUUGAAACCUUCCUUAAUGUGGUGUUGGCGUCAAGGCAGGCUUGUAUCAUGAGGAAUAAUUGUCAUCUCGUAUGAUCCUUGGAGAUGGCAGGAAGCCCCUGGACACACAUGGUGUGGACUCCUUCAGAGGCUGUUGAAGCCUUCCUUAAUGUAGCACUGGCAUGGAAGGCAGGCCCGUGUUGGCGAGGGACAAUUGUUAUCUCAUGUGAGCCGCGGAGAUACCAGGAAGCCCCUGGACACAAUGGCAAAGACUCCCUCGGAAGUUGUUGGAUCCCUUCUGAAUGUGGCGUUGGCAUAAAAGGCGGGCUUGUAUCAUGA